AACGAACGCUGGCGGCAGGCUUAACACAUGCAAGUCGAGCGCCCCGCAAGGGGAGCGGCAGACGGGUGAGUAACGCGUGGGAAUCUACCCAUCUCUACGGAAUAACGCAUGGAAACGUGUGCUAAUACCGUAUACGUCCUUCGGGAGAAAGAUUUAUCGGAGAUGGAUGAGCCCGCGUUGGAUUAGCUAGUUGGUGGGGUAAAGGCCUACCAAGGCGACGAUCCAUAGCUGGUCUGAGAGGAUGAUCAGCCACACUGGGACUGAGACACGGCCCAUACUCCGUCGGGAGGCAGCAGUGGGGAAUAUUGGACAAUUGGCGCAAGCCUGAUCCAGCCAUGCCGCGUGAGUGAUGAAGGCCCUAGGGUUGUAAAGCUCUUUCACCGGUGAAGAUAAUGACGGUAACCGGAGAAGAAGCCCCGGCUAACUUCGUGCCAGCCGCCGCGGUAAUAC
rnacentral:rRNA from 1 species